GUGUGUGUGUAUGUGUGUGUGUGUGUCUCCAAAUGAGUCUCAGUAGGGUUGUUUAUAGGAACAUGGACAUCCUACCAGUGAAGAACAUAUCCUAGUGUGUAAAUCCUCAAGAGAGGGGUGUGGCCAGGAGCUUCCCUGUCCCAUGACUGAGUACUGCAGGCCCAGUCAUGUGUAAGAAAUCACAACUGCGUGUCUUCAAGAGUGCAACAGCAACACCAUGCCCCAGAAGUCAGUGUUUUCUGCUUUGCCGUUUAUUUAUUUAUAGACUGUAUUUUAUAGUGUAACGCAGGCUGGUCUCAAACCUCAGACUUGUGGCAGUCAGUCCUCUGACUUCAGCCUCCAAGUUGCUGAGAUUACAGGCAUGUGCCCUGGUGCCCUGAUGCCCCUCUUAAGACUGAUUUUAAUCUGUAUGAGUGUCUUGCCUAUAUGCAUCUAUACACACCACAUGUGUGAGUAUCUUCAAAGGCCAGCAGAGGGUGUCAGAGGCCCUGGAACUGGACGAAUGGUUGUGAGCUGUGGGCUCUGAGAACUGAACCCAGGUCCUCUGCAAGAGCAAUAAAAUCUUAUAAAGUUGAUCCAGCAUCUCCAGGGCUGGGCAGGGAGAAUGAGAGCACAGCCAAUGUGUUGCUGUCCUGGAACUUUACUUUGUAGACCAGGCUGGCCUUGAACUCACAGAGAUCCACCUGCUCUGCCUCCGGAGUGUUGGGUUAAAGGCUUUGUGCCACUACCUGGUCUGUGUUGGUUUUUGUUGCUUGUUGGUUGGUCUGUUGUUUGAUGACAACAUUCUAGAUUGCCAAUCAUGAUUACACAACACUAGGACUAAUAGGGACCCUGGAAUUGCAUGCACACUUUGCACUGUUGGGUGUAUAACAGAAUGGUCACAUACACACGAGCGUAUAAACACAUUUAUAUUCACACAUGCACCCAAAUACUCAUACACAUUAACGUUCUGUCACGCAUACCACACACACACUUUCACACACACUAUCGGGUUCUCCGCGCCUCUCGGUUGAGGGCUGGAGAAUCCUGCUCCUUCUGAUAUGUGAUCCUCAGCAUCCACCCAUCAUGACUUGGCUGAGGUGGAGGCAGAGUCAGCAGCCAGUAAGGUGGAACAGGAGCAUAAGGGGUAGCCCCCUCCGAGAACACUACUGAUCAAGUGGUUUUCAACAUCUAGUAUGUGAGAUCACUCAAGUUUGAGAGGCUGUCACAGGGGCCAGGGGAACAUUCCAGAGGAACAAGUAACGGAGACCGUGCUUUUCUCUCUCAAAUCCCUGCCUUGCUGGGUAGGGAUCAGAAAGGCAGGGUGACCUCGAGUGCCCUAAUGUCCAACCCCCUCCCAGCACAGGAUGGAGUCCGGCCCAUUUCUCUUGGAAACAGAUGGCUGGAGCAGGCAAAGAGGCCACACUUCAGAGAAUCCUACAAACGGGACUCGAAACCCGUGUGCUCUAGGAGUCUGGAAUGUUUCCUGCCUCGCCAGAGGAAAUGCCCUUCUGACUGCUCCACGGAGGUGCCGCUAACGUCCACGCGGCUGGAAGGCCUGCUCGCUAAGGACAGGCACACGAAAUGCAUGCAGGCUCACCCAGGCAGGGGGGAGGACACAGAGCUGUCACCAACAUUUAAAACAAUGACACUUGCUGCGGCGGGAGAGAUGGAAGAAGGCAAGACAGCCGAGAACGGAAAACACUAGAAGUGGAAAACUAAAGGAAUGAAACCGAGAACUCCAUGACGCAUUUAAUUACACACAGAAUACAAUAAAUAUACAAAGGUGAAGAAAAAGUCAGCAAAUGAGAAGGAUGGGAACGGUCCUUCUUUGAACCCAGGAACCCAGAUAAAUUUUCCUUCAUUUACAUCUUCCAGCGGGCUGUCACGGCAACUGUCUAACACGGGUGUUAAGCUAGACAGAGGUGAGGUGUGACCAGAAUACACUGGCCUUUCUCGAAACUGUUAACCUGUUCAGCAACGGUCAAACGACAGACUGGGCACCACUGGCUGGCACACUAACUAUCCUCAGCUGACUAUCUCAGGAUUUAGUGUGUCUUACAGGGUAGAGGUGGCUCCAGGGAACCCGGACAACAAAACAGCAGGUCCUGACGAAGCCAGGUGGAGUCAUGUCAAGCUGAGCAAAUAUUAUGGUCCUGGCUAAACUAAAAGGGUUACAAAACAAAACCAAGAGUCACAGAAUCUGGGAGAGGGACGUGCAUGCAUGCGUGCAUGUGUGUGUGUGUUGGGGUGGGGUUUGAUGGCGGUGGAAGUUGGAUAAAAGAGGGUGGAGAGAGUAACCAGAAUGCUUUAUAUACAUCUAUGAAAUUGUCAAAUAACAAUUAAAAAAAAAGCGGAAAGCAA